GAUGAAGAACGCAGCAAAAUGCGAUAAGUAGUGUGAAUUGCAGAAUUCAGUGAAUCAUCGAAUCUUUGAACGCACAUUGCGCCCUCUGGUAUUCCGGGGGCAUGCCUGUUCGAGCGUCAUUAUAACCACUCAAGCUCUCGCUUGGUAUUGGGGCUCGCGGUUCCGCGGCCCCUAAAAUCAGUGGCGGUGCCUGUCGGCUCUACGCGUAGUAAUACUCCUCGCGAUUGAGUCCGGUAGGUCUACUUGCCAGCAACCCCCAAUUUUUACAGGUUGACCUCGGAUCAGGUAGGGAUACCCGCUGAACUUAAGCAUAUCAAUAAGCGGAGGA
rnacentral:misc_RNA from 1 species